rnacentral:rRNA from 1 species
AGUGAACGCUGGCGGCAGGCCUAAUACAUGCAAGUCGAACGGCAGCACAGCAGAGCUUGCUCUGUGGGUGGCGAGUGGCGGACGGGUGAGGAAUACGUGGGAAUCUGCCCAGUCGUGGGGGAUAACGUAGGGAAACUUACGCCAAUACCGCAUGCGCCCUUUGGGGGAAAGCCGGGGAUCUUCGGACCUGGCGCGAUUGGAUGAGCCCACGUCGGAUUAGCUAGUUGGAGGGGUAAAGGCCCACCAAGGCGACGAUCCGUAGCUGGUCUGAGAGGAUGAUCAGCCACACUGGAACUGAGACACGGUCCAGACUCCUACGGGAGGCAGCAGUAGGGAAUAUCGGACAAUGGGCGCAAGCCUGAUCCAGCCAUGCCGCGUGAGUGAAGAAGGCCCUCGGGUUGUAAAGCUCUUUUGUUGGGGAAGAAAAGCCUUGGGUUAAUACCCUGAGGUUCUGACGGUACCCAAAGAAUAAGCACCGGCUAACUUCGUGCCAGCAGCCGCAGUAACAC